AUGGGCUCCCUCGCCGCCGCCGACGAGCCGCUGCCUCCUCUCCGGUACCCCCCGGCCCGCCGCGACGGCGACAUUGUCGACGACUACCACGGCGUUCUUGUGCCGGACCCCUACAGAUGGAUGGAGGAGCUGGAAUCCGAGGAGGUGAAGGAGUACGUGCGCGCGCAGGCGGCCGUGGCCGACGCCGUGCUCGCCACCUGCGACCACCGCGGCCGCCUGCGCGGGCAGCUCACGGCGCUGCUCGACCACCCGCGCUACCGCGCCCCCUUCAAGCGCGCCCGCACCUACUUCUACUUCCACAACCCCGGCCUCCUCCCCCACAGCGCCCUCUACGUCCAGCAUGGGCUGGGCGGCGAGCCGAGCGUGCUGCUGGACCCGAGCGAGCUCAGCGACGACGCCACGGUGUCUCUCUCCAUGAUCGGCGUCAGCGACGACGGCGAGCACCUGGCCUACGGCACCAGCGCCAGCGGCAGCGACUGGGUCACCAUCAGCCUCAUGCGCGUGCGCGACAAGCACCGCCUCCCCGACACCCUGUCCUGGGUCAAGUUCUCGCGCAUCGCCUGGACAAGCGACGGCAAGGGCUUCUUCUACUCGCGGUUCCCGGCUCCAAAGGACGACGAUGGCGCGCCGGAGUCGGGGAUCAGGACCGACGUUAAUCUCAACCACGAGGUCUACUACCAUUUCCUUGGAACUGACCAGUCCGACGAUGUCAUGUGCUGGAGAGACCCCGAGCAUCCCAAGUACAUAUACACCCCUGAGGUUACAGAGGAUGGCAAGUACGUGCUCCUGUCAGUUUCAGAGAGUUCAGAGCCGGUCAACAAGUUGUACUACUGCGACCUCUCAGCUCUUUCAGGCAUGAACGCAAAAGGAACCCACGAAAUGCUUCCCUUUGUGAAGCUUGUGGACAAAUUCGAGGCCUUCUACGGAGUCGUCGCCAACGACGGCACCCGAUUCACAUUCCUCACAAACAAAGACGCUCCGAGGUGCAAACUGUCGCGGGUCGACGUCGAUGAUCCGCAGUCCUGGACCGAUGUUCUGCCUGAAGACGACAGGGCUGUCCUAGAGUCGGCGUGUGCUGUCCAUGGCGACAAGGUUCUGGUGAACUACUUGUCAGAUGUCAAGUACGUGCUGCAGAUGAGGAGCCUGGCCACCGGAGAGCUGCUCCACGGCAUACCCAUCGACAUAGGCAGCGUCAACGGGAUUACCGGUAGGCGUGGCGAUUCCGAGGUGUUCAUCGAGUUCUCGAGCUUCCUCACUCCGGGAAUCGUCUACAGGUGUGAUCUGAGCUCCGGGAGCCCUGAGAUGAGCAUAUACAGAGAUAUUAACGUCCCUGGGUUCGACCGCACCGACUUCGAAGCGAAGCAGGUGUUUUACCCGAGCAAGGACGGGACCAAGAUCCCGAUGUUCGUCGUGUCGAGGAAGAAGAUCGUCCUCGACGGGUCGCACCCGGCCCUGCUCUUCGGCUACGGCGGGUUCGGCAUGAGCAUGACGCCGCAAUUCAGCGCGGCCCGCGUCGUCCUCAUGAGGAACCUAGGGUUCGUGACGUGCAUCGCCAACAUCAGGGGCGGCGGCGAGUACGGCGAGGGCUGGCACAAGGCCGGCUCGCUCGCGAACAAGCAGAAUUGCUUCGACGACUUCGUCGCCGCCGGCGAGUUCCUCGUGUCCGCCGGGUACACGAGCCCGAGCCGCCUGUGCAUCGAAGGCGGGAGCAACGGCGGCCUCCUGGUCGCCGCAUGCAUCAACCAGCGCCCUGGUCUCUUCGGCUGUGCUCUGGCUCACGUGGGUGUCAUGGACAUGCUUCGGUUCCACAAGUUCACCAUAGGUCGUGCAUGGGCUUGUGAUUUCGGCUGCUCGGAGAAGGAGGAGGAAUUCCACUGGCUUAUCAAGUACUCCCCUCUGCACAACGUGAGGCGGCCGUGGGAGAAGGGCGCCGGCGGCGACCAGCACCGCCGCCAGUACCCUCCCACCAUGCUGCUGACGGCGGACCACGACGACCGCGUCGUGCCGUCGCACACCCUCAAGUUCCUCGCGACGAUGCAGCACGUCCUGUGCACGAGCGUGGAGCACGGCCCCCAGACCAACCCCAUCGUCGCCCGGAUCGACCGCAAGAGCGGACACGGCUGCGGCCGCUCCACGCAGAAGAUCAUCGAUGAGGCUGCGGAUCGUUACGCGUUCGCGGCGAAGAUGAUGGGGGUCUCUUGGAUCGAUUGA
rnacentral:rRNA from 1 species